UCUGGUGGAACUGCCGGCUUUCGCCCUCUGACUCCCGAAGCCUCUUCUUCAGAACCUCAGACUCUGCCUCGAUAUCUUUGAUCGCCUGCUGCUCGUAGGCCAGCUGAAUCUUCAGUCACUGCAGUUCGGCCUUCUCCUGCCCAAGGGCCGUGGACAGUUCUUCUAUGGUCUCCCUCAAGGAGCGAAGCUCGUCGGAGCCUUGUACUGAAGCGGUCUGGACUCUCUCAGACAACUGCCUCUGAAGGUG
rnacentral:lncRNA from 1 species